rnacentral:lncRNA from 1 species
UCGAAGAACUAUCUUAAGCAAAGUUCCUGUAGAACCAAUAAUAUUUAUAGCUUCUUAAAGACUCGAACAACGCCAACUUUUCUUGCUGAAAAACCAAGCUAAGUUUCAAUGUAAAUCAGAAGCUUUCGUCUUCGUUUCGCUCAAAAUGCCUAAAAGUAAUCUAAGUGCCAUUUCAAAUAUAUUUCCACCAAAUGCGAAGUCAACUUCGCACUAAACUUUCUCCUGCAGUCGAGUCUUCAUCGAACCAAAAUAUUCUCAUGUUGAAUUCAUGGUGAAGAAGCAACCACAUUUUCGUUGUUUGGGUACCAACAAGUUCAAUCCCUUACUUUCGAAUUCAUAGAGACAUGGAAACAUCACCAACACAUUAUAUCAAGUUAUUAC